UGAGGAAUAUUGGUCAAUGGACGAGAGUCUGAACCAGCCAAGUAGCGUGAAGGAUGACUGCCCUAUGGGUUGUAAACUUCUUUUAUACGGGAAUAAAGUGAGGCACGUGUGCCUUUUUGUAUGUACCGUAUGAAUAAGGAUCGGCUAACUCCGUGCCAGCAGCCGCGGUAAUACGGAGGAUCCGAGCGUUAUCCGGAUUUAUUGGGUUUAAAGGGAGCGUAGGCGGACGCUUAAGUCAGUUGUGAAAGUUUGCGGCUCAACCGUAAAAUUGCAAUUGAUACUGGGUGUCUUGAGUACAGUAGAGGCAGGCGGAAUUCGUGGUGUAGCGGUGAAAUGCUUAGAUAUCACGAAGAACUCCGAUUGCGAAGGCAGCUUGCUGGACUGUAACUGACGCUGAUGCUCGAAAGUGUGGGUAUCAAACAGGAUUAGAUACCCUGGUAGUCCACACAGUAAACGAUGAAUACUCGCUGUUUGCGAUAUACAGUAAGCGGCCAAGCGAAAGCGUUAAGUAUUCCACCUGGGGAGUACGCCGGCAACGGUGAAACUCAAAGGAAUUGACGGGGGCCCGCACAAGCGGAGGAACAUGUGGUUUAAUUCGAUGAUACGCGAGGAACCUUACCCGGGCUUGAAUUGCAACUGAAUGAUGUGGAGACAUGUCAGCCGCAAGGCAGUUGUGAAGGUGCUGCAUGGUUGUCGUCAGCUCGUGCCGUGAGGUGUCGGCUUAAGUGCCAUAACGAGCGCAACCCUUAUCGAUAGUUACCAUCAGGUUAUGCUGGGGACUCUGUCGAGACUGCCGUCGUAAGAUGUGAGGAAGGUGGGGAUGACGUCAAAUCAGCACGGCCCUUACGUCCGGGGCUACACACGUGUUACAAUGGGGGGUACAGAAGGCAGCUACACGGCGACGUGAUGCUAAUCCCUAAAGCCUCUCUCAGUUCGGAUUGGAGUCUGCAACCCGACUCCAUGAAGCUGGAUUCGCUAGUAAUCGCGCAUCAGCCACGGCGCGGUGAAUACGUUCCC
rnacentral:rRNA from 1 species